AGGGUAAACGCUGGCGGCGUGCCUAAAACAUGCAAGUCGAACGCACAUCCUUCGGGGUGUGAGUGGCAGACGGCUGAGUAACGCGUGGGUGACGUACCUAUUGGUGGGGAAUAACUGCCCGAAAGGGUGGCUAAUACCGCAUACGCCCGCUUCUGCAUUGGAGUGGGGAAAGUCUCGCAAGAGACGUCGAUGGAGCGGCCCGCGUCCGAUUAGCUUGUUGGUGGGGUAACGCCUACCAAGGCGACGAUCGGUAGCUGGUCUCAGAGGAUGAUCAGCCAGACUGGGACUGAGACACGGCCCAGACUCCUACGGGAGGCAGCAGUUAGGAAUUUUGGGCAAUGGGCGCAAGCCUGACCCAGCAACGCCGCGUGGGUGACGAAGGCCUUCGGGUUGUAAAGCCCUUUCUGAGGAAGAUGAUGACGGUACCUCAGGAAGAAGCACCGGCUAACUACGUGCCAGCAGCCGC
rnacentral:rRNA from 1 species